rnacentral:rRNA from 1 species
UACGUAGGGUGCAAGCGUUAAUCGGAAUUACUGGGCGUAAAGCGUGCGCAGGCGGUUUUGUAAGACAGAGGCGAAAUCCCCGGGCUCAACCUGGGAACUGCCUUUGUGACUGCAAGGCUUGAGUGCGGCAGAGGGGGAUGGAAUUCCGCGUGUAGCAGUGAAAUGCGUAGAUAUGCGGAGGAACACCGAUGGCGAAGGCAAUCCCCUGGGCCUGCACUGACGCUCAUGCACGAAAGCGUGGGGAGCAGACAGG